rnacentral:rRNA from 1 species
ACGAACGCUGGCGGCGUGCUUAACACAUGCAAGUCGAACGAUGAACCUCCUUCGGGAGGGGAUUAGUGGCGAACGGGUGAGUAACACGUGGGCAAUCUGCCCUGCACUCUGGGACAAGCCCUGGAAACGGGGUCUAAUACCGGAUACUGAUCAUCUUGGGCAUCCUUGGUGAUAGAAAGCUCCGGCGGUGCAGGAUGAGCCCGCGGCCUAUCAGCUUGUUGGUGAGGUAAUGGCUCACCAAGGCGACGACGGGUAGCCGGCCUGAGAGGGCGACCGGCCACACUGGGACUGAGACACGGCCCAGACUCAUACGGGAGGCAGCAGUGGGGAAUAUUGCACAAUGGGGGAAAGCCUGAAGCAGUGACGCCGCGUGAGGGAUGACGGCAUUGGGGUUGUAAACAUGUUUCAGCAGGGAAGAAGAGAAAGUGACGGUACGUGCAGAAGAAGCGCCGGCUAACUA